rnacentral:lncRNA from 1 species
UGCUUCCGGAAGGAGACAGACGGGCACCUGGAGUUCUGCACCCAAGAGGCCCCAAGUUCAGUUCGAAGGUGACUGUGUAAAGAUUAGGAAUCUGGACCAAACUCUCUAGGCUGACAUUGGAGAGGAGGAGAGGGGCAAGGGAGAAAGGAGGCGGUCCUGGACCAUGGAUGGGUGGAUGAGCAACUGUGAGCAGAUUUCCUGAUGGUUCACUGCAGUAACCAGCAGGAGAAGGCAGACAGGAGCAAUGGCAGGGUGCACAUGGGAAACAUCUUGCAAAAGCCCCAGUUCUUAAUUCAAUGCAGUUUGGCAUGUGUGAGAGAAGAUUGGAUUGUUUGAAGAAGGUAAAACUGGAAGAAGAAUCAACAAACUCACAGAGGUCAAAUGAGUAAAUUGCUGUAUUUUUUCUUUGGGGAUUGGUGUGGAAAGGAGGUGGUGCUGCUGUGGGAAGGGGCAGCGUAUUAUAAGGAUGGGUAUUUUCUUUUCACAUGUGCCUAGAUA